GACAAACCGUGCGACCGUUAUUCGGAAUCAUUGGGCUUAAAGAGCGCGUAGGCGGCGACGUAAGUUGGAAGUGAAAUCCCAUCGGCUCAACCGUGGAAUCGCUCCCAGUACUGCGUUGCUCGAGGGAGAUAGGGGCCUGUGGAACUGCCGGUGGAGCGGUGAAAUGUGUUGAUAUCGGCGGGAACGCCAGUGGCGAAAGCGCUCAUCUGGCCCGAUACUGACGCUGAGGCGCGAAAGCUAGGGGAGCAAACGGG
rnacentral:rRNA from 1 species